GACGAACGCUGGCGGCGUGCUUAACACAUGCAAGUCGAACGGUAAGGCCCUUCGGGGUACACGAGUGGCGAACGGGUGAGUAACACGUGGGUGAUCUGCCCUGCACUUCGGGAUAAGCCUGGGAAACUGGGUCUAAUACCGGAUAGGACCACUGCCUGCAUGGGUGGUGGUGGAAAGCUUUUGCGGUGUGGGAUGGGCCCGCGGCCUAUCAGCUUGUUGGUGGGGUGAUGGCCUACCAAGGCGACGACGGGUAGCCGGCCUGAGAGGGUGACCGGCCACAAUGGGACUGAGAUACGGCCCAGACUCCUACGGGAGGCAGCAGUGGGGAAUAUUGCACAAUGGGCGCAAGCCUGAUGCAGCGACGCCGCGUGAGGGAUGACGGCCUUCGGGUUGUAAACCUCUUUCAGCACCGACGAAGCACAAGUGACGGUAGGUGCAGAAGAAGGACCGGCCAACUACGUGCCAGCCGCCGCAGUAA
rnacentral:rRNA from 1 species